rnacentral:rRNA from 1 species
CGGACGGGUGAGUAACGCGUGAGAAUCUGCCCUCAGGAGGGGGAUAACGGUUGGAAACGACCGCUAAUACCCCAUAUGCCUAUUGGUGAAAUGAAUUUCGCCUGAGGAUGAGCUCGCGUCUGAUUAGCUAGUUGGUGAGGUAAUGGCUCACCAAGGCUUCGAUCAGUAGCUGGUCCGAGAGGAUGAUCAGCCACACUGGGACUGAGACACGGCCCAGACUCCUACGGGAGGCAGCAGUGGGGAAUUUUCCGCAAUGGGCGAAAGCCUGACGGAGCAACGCCGCGUGAGGGACGAAGGCCUCUGGGCUGUAAACCUCUUUUCUCAAGGAAGAAGAUAUGACGGUACUUGAGGAAUAAGCCACGGCUAAUUCCGUGCCAGCAGCCGCGGUAAUACGGGAGUGGCAAGCGUUAUCCGGAAUUAUUGGGCGUAAAGCGUCCGCAGGCGGCUUUUCAAGUCUGCUGUUAAAACGUGGAGCUUAACUCCAUCAUGGCAGUGGAAACUGAAAGGCUUGAGUAUGGUAGGGGCAGAGGGAAUCCCCGGUGUAGCGGUGAAAUGCGUAGAUAUCGGGAAGAACACCAGUGGCGAAGGCGCUCUGCUGGGCCAUUACUGACGCUCAUGGACGAAAGCCAGGGGAGCGAAUGGGAUUAGAUACCCCAGUAGUC